UACAUGUGGGGCAAGCGUUGUUCGGAAUCACUGGGCAUAAAGGGUGCGUAGGCUGCAUGAUAAGUCGGCGGUGAAAGGCUGCGGCCCAACCGUAGCAUUGCCGUUGAUACUGUUGUGCUUGAGUGCGAUAGGGGUGACUGGAACGCGUGGUGUAGCGGUGAAAUGCGUAGAUAUCACGCGGAACACCAAAGGCGAAGGCAGGUCACUGGAGCGCAACUGACGCUGAGGCACGAAAGCGUGGGGAGCAAACAGG
rnacentral:rRNA from 1 species